CCCAGAGUGGCAUAGUGGUUUAAAAGCUGGACUAUGACUCUGGAGACCAGGGUUCGAUUUCCAGCUCAGCCA